UGGCAUAAGCCAGCUUGACUGCGAGCGUGACGGCGCGAGCAGGUGCGAAAGCAGGUCAUAGUGAUCCGGUGGUUCUGAAUGGAAGGGCCAUCGCUCAACGGAUAAAAGGUACUCCGGGGAUAACAGGCUGAUACCGCCCAAGAGUUCAUAUCGACGGCGGUGUUUGGCACCUCGAUGUCGGCUCAUCACAUCCUGGGGCUGAAGUAGGUCCCAAGGGUAUGGCUGUUCGCCAUUUAAAGUGGUACGCGAGCUGGGUUUAGAACGUCGUGAGACAGUUCGGUCCCUAUCUGCCGUGGGCGCUGGAGAACUGAGGGGGGCUGCUCCUAGUACGAGAGGACCGGAGUGGACGCAUCACUGGUGUUCGGGUUGUCAUGCCAAUGGCACUGCCCGGUAGCUAAAUGCGGAAGAGAUAAGUGCUGAAAGCAUCUAAGCACGAAACUUGCC
rnacentral:rRNA from 1 species